UUCCCCAUUUCCAUUAGCAAUGCCCAACUUAGCUGAUAAAUAAUCUACAUGUUUGGCCACCGAAAUGAAUAUCAUAAGAAAGGUGGAGGUUGAUGAAAGACAGCUAUAUGCGCUACACAACAAAUAUAAAGUAUGCAACAGAAGUAAAAAUAC
rnacentral:lncRNA from 11 species